rnacentral:rRNA from 1 species
GCAUAUCAAUAAGCGGAGGAAAAGAAACCAACAGGGAUUGCCUCAGUAACGGCGAGUGAAGCGGCAAAAGCUCAAAUUUGAAAUCUGGUUGUGCCUGGCGCAGCCCGAGUUGUAAUUUGAAGAAGGCGACUCUGGAGGCGGCCCUUGCCUAUGUUCCUUGGAACAGGACGUCACAGAGGGUGAGAAUCCCGUGCGGCGAGGUGGCCCCGGCUCCGUGUAGAGCGCUUUCGAAGAGUCGAGUUGUUUGGGAAUGCAGCUCUAAGUGGGUGGUAAAUUCCAUCUAAAGCUAAAUAUUGGCGAGAGACCGAUAGCGAACAAGUACAGUGAUGGAAAGAUGAAAAGAACUUUGAAAAGAGAGUGAAAAAGUACGUGAAAUUGUUGAAAGGGAAGGGUAUUAGAUCAGACUUGGCGGUUGCUGGGGAUCCCCCCCUGCCCUUGUGGCGGGAGGGCUACUCCCUGCGCGCUGGGCCAGCAUCGAUUCGGACGGCGGGAGAAUGGCGUGGAGAAUGUGGCAGCGGCCCUUUGCGGGGCUGGUGUGCUUAUAGCUCUGGGCAGAUGCCGCCUGUGUGGAUCGAGGAGUGCGUCCUUAGGGACUAGGAUGCGGCG